AUGCUGUUGGUCCAAUUUCUCAACAAAUUUCUGCUACCUCGCAUAAACAAGGAAUCUCACAAGUCUUUAAGCUCCAUGAGAAAUUGUAGUCAAAACUGGAUCCAUAGAAAGAGCAUCAUGCUUAGGGGUUACUUCUGUAUCUAAAACCUUUUCCUGCUGAUCAAAAUCUACCUUUGGUGCCUCUUGGAUUGUUAUUGCAAGUGCAAGAAUAUUUUGUCCACCAAAAACUUGGUUGACCCAAGUUUUAGUUGAUUCUACUGGUAGGAUCACUCUUUCACCUUGAGCUCUAUUAGG